AUUGAACGCUGGCGGCAGGCCUAACACAUGCAAGUCGAGCGGAUGAAGGGAGCUUGCUCCUGGAUUCAGCGGCGGACGGGUGAGUAAUGCCUAGGAAUCUGCCUGGUAGUGGGGGAUAACGUCCGGACACGGGCGCUAAUACCGCAUACGUCCUGAGGGAGAAAGUGGGGGAUCUUCGGACCUCACGCUAUCAGAUGAGCCUAGGUCGGAUUAGCUAGUUGGUGGGGUAAAGGCCUACCAAGGCGACGAUCCGUAACUGGUCUGAGAGGAGGAUCAGUCACACUGGAACUGGAAAACGGUCCAGACUCCAACGGGAGGCAGCAGUGGGGAAUAUUGGACAAUGGGCGAAAGCCGGAUCCAGCCAGGCCGCGUGUGUGAAGAAGGUCUUCGGAUUGUAAAGCACUUUAAGUUGGAGGAAGGGCAGUAAGUUAAUACCUUGCUGUUUUGACGUUACCAACAGAAUAAGCACCGGCUAACUUCGUG
rnacentral:rRNA from 1 species